GUUUUUGGAAAGAUGCUUCUGGCUGCGGUUAGGGCCUGGACCCCGUGGAGUAAGAACGCAGGCGGGGAGCGCGAUCAGAGGUGAGGAGGACCGAGAGCUGAAUCCAGGCAUCCAGGCGGGACCAGCCGCCUUCUCGCCCACGCCCACGCCCCCGCCUCCGGGUGCGGACAGGAGAGCCGCCUUCCACACGCAGUUCCACCGACCCGCGACCCGCGGAGACGUCGGUGUCCGCGGACCGUCUGACCCGCCGCCCGCGGGCAGAGGCUGGCGCGGCGGGAAGGCGGGCUGCGGCCGGGGCUGGAAACCUAGUCCUGCGGGGACUCAGGGCUCCUGACGCUCAGGAGGCACCGAGUCACCUUUUCUGAGGCUUUUCUGCAGCUCAGAGGCUUCCUGCGUGACUCACAGAAAAGAAAAGAGACAACCAUUCGCCAGUGAGCAAGCAGAGCGUCUUUCCCUCUCCGAAGUCCCGGAGGCUCCCCUCAGGCCCCCGCCUCCCGGAUGCCCGCCCAGCAGCUCCAGCGCGUCUCUGUCCAAAGGGAGGGCCUUUCCGGGAAGAGGGUGCAGGGGCCCCGAGCUCCAGACAGGACCCCUCAGGCUUCCCCAAGUGAGGGCUGCAAGCGCAGUGGAGGAAACGGAUCAUCACCGAGCCGCCCCUGCCAGCCCCAGCCCGGCUUCACCUGCAAACGCACGUGGUCCUCCGGACGGACCACAGCUCAUUCCUCUCCAAAGGAUGCUCUGCUGCUGCUGCUGCUGCUGCUAAGUCACUUCAGUCAUGUCCGACUGUGUGCGACCCCACAGACGGCAGCCCACCAGGCUCCCCCGUCCCUGGGAUUCUCCAGGCAAGAACACUGGAGUGGGUUGCCAUUUCCUUCUCCAGUGCACGAAAGUGAAAAUGAAAGUGAAGUCGCUCAGUCGUGUCCGACUCUUAGCGACCCCAUGGACUGCAGCCUACCAGACUCCUCCAUCCAUGGAUUUUCCAGGCAAGAGUACUGGAGUGGGGUGCCAUUGCCUUCUCCAAAGGAUGCUCUAACAACUUUAUUUUAGGUGCUUUUUCAGUUACCUGGCUUUCCCAAGGGUCUCCCCAGCAUCUACCAACAGACAGGCACUGUAUGAAGCCCGGCUUGGCUCUCAGGUGGAUGGACGGUCCCGUGAACACCAGUCCAGGAGAAGAAGAAAAAGGGAUUGUGAUUCUAUAAUGAAGAGAGUCGCAAGUUUCUGUCCUUAAAAGACAGCACCUGGGGACCGUUUCAGAAACGAAAACCUCCGUUCACGCCCUCACUCGCUCUUCUGGUCCCAACAAGGGAACAGAAACUCAUAUGGCAAGAAGUAAAACCAAAUUCUGAAAUGAUUCUUACGAAAUAUCUUUGCCUGCCCGGAGGCAUGAAUGGAUACACCAGCUUAAACUGCGCCUCGAAAACUGCUAUCUCCACUUCCUACUCCUCCUCUCUGCCGCCUCGCUCUCCGCCUCUUCCUCCAUGACUUUAUUUCAAAUACUGUUUCCUCUUUAAAGCUUGCUUGUUAAAUCAACUGUAUGCUAAUAAAAAUUAUUUUUAAAUUUUUUUAAAAAAGAAUAAAAGUUGCUUGUUUAUGCUCAGUGAAAACCAUAAUUUUGCAUAGUAUACCAGUGGUUGGUGCUUUGGCUUUUUUUUUUUUU
ensembl:lncRNA